AGAAAUAUGUCAUGAAGCUGUUAUCAAUAGUCCUGGCUCAAACCAAGAUAGCAUGAGAGUCUCAAGGCUGUGGGCUCCCUGGCUAGGUUCUCAAUAAAGAUUGCCUCUACAGGCCUCAGUGGCAACCCCGUCAGGACCCCUCUCACUCCUGAGAGCUUUCUCUGUGCCUUUUCUUAAUAAACUUCUAUCUCUUCACUCACUCUCUGUUGUGCUCCACAUUCGUUCUUCUGUUCCAUGAGACAAGAACCAAGCUCUCCUGUAUCACCUCUGUUUGGCGAUUUGCAAAAACAAUCUUACGCUAUAAAACGCUGAAAGGUUCUAAUCACCAGUUCCAGAAUGUGUGGGGAAAGUGGUUACCCCACACCAUCAAGCAAUUUAGUGUUGGGAAAGAGUAUGAAGCUUCCAUGCCAUCUCCAGACCUGCCAUUUUCCCCAAAUCUGUACAUGUUAAUCAACUCAGAAGCUCUCUGAACACUAUCCUAUUGAAUUUUUAUGGAGACUUCAUUACACAGGCAUGGUUGAUUAAAUCAUUGAUCAUUGGUGAUUGAUUCAACCUCCAGCCACAGAAAUGCCAAAAUUUUAGGAGCUCUCUGCUAGAAAUGGGGAGAAAGACUAAGUCUAUGUUCUUUAUAAAUCACAAUAUGACAUAGGUCUAGUAGAAUUCUGAGCUGAAAUAUGUAUGGUCAUCUUUUUCUUGUUCCUGAUUACAGAUAGAAAUAAUUCAAUAUUUUACCAUUAAACUCGUUGUUAGAUUUUCACAACAUUUAUUAGAUUUUAACAUUUCUAUUUAUGAUUUGCUGUGUUAUUUUAAAUUACAAGUGGAUUUAGAUUUUAUCAAAUCCUUUUAAAAUAUCCAUUGAAAGGAACAUGAA
rnacentral:lncRNA from 1 species